CCGCAAACCGACACAGGUGGGUGAGGAGAGUAUCCUAAGGCCAGCGAGAGAACUGUUGUUAAGGAACUCGGCAAAAUGACCCCGUAACUUAGGGAUAAGGGGUGCCACCAUCAGGUGGCCGCAGAGAAUAGGCCCAAGCGACUGUUUACCAAAAACAUAGGUUUCUGCUAAGUCGCAAGACGAUGUAUAGGAGCUGACGCCUGCCCGGUGCUGGAAGGUUAAGGGGAUCUGUUAGAGCAAUCGAAGCAGUGAACUUAAGCCCCAGUAAACGGCGGCCNNNNNNNNNNNNNNNNNNNNNGUAAGUUCCGACCCGCACGAAAGGCGUAACGAUUUGGGCACUGUCUCAACAACAGACUCGGUGAAAUUGUAAUUCCGGUGAAGAUGCCGGAUACCUGCGACAGGACGGAAAGACCCCAUGGAGCUUUACUGUAGCUUGACAUUGGGUCUUGGUACUACAUGUACAGGAUAGGUGGGAGGCUUUGAAACCAGGACGCCAGUUUUGGCGGAGCCAUCCUUGGGAUACCACCCUUGUAGUACUGGGACUCUAACCAUAGGCCAUGAAUCUGGUCUUGGGACACUGUCAGGUGGGCAGUUUGACUGGGGCGGUCGCCUCCCAAAAGGUAACGGAGGCGCUCAAAGGUUCUCUCAGUACGGUCGGAAAUCGUACGUAGAGUGUAAAGGCAAAAGAGAGCUUGAUUGCAAGACAUACAGGUCGAGCAAGGAUGAAAAUCGGACUUAGUGAUCCGGUGGUUCUGCGUGGAAGGGCCAUCGCUCAACG
rnacentral:rRNA from 1 species